rnacentral:rRNA from 1 species
AAGGCGACGAUGCGUAGGGGUUCUGAGAGGAAGGUCCCCCACACUGGUACUGAGACACGGACCAGACUCCUACGGGAGGCAGCAGUGAGGAAUAUUGGUCAAUGGCCGCAGGGCUGAACCAGCCAAGUCGCGUGAGGGAUGACGGUCCUAUGGAUUGUAAACCUCUUUUGUCAGGGAGCAAAGGGCGCCACGUGUGGCGCUUUGCGAGUACCUGAAGAAAAAGCAUCGGCUAACUCCGUGCCAGCAGCCGCGGUAAUACGGAGGAUGCGAGCGUUAUCCGGAUUUAUUGGGUUUAAAGGGUGCGCAGGCGGAAUGUCAAGUCAGCGGUAAAAUUUCGGGGCUCAACCCCGUCGUGCCGUUGAAACUGGCGUUCUUGAGUGAGCGAGAAGUAUGCGGAAUGCGUGGUGUAGCGGUGAAAUGCAUAGAUAUCACGCAGAACUCCGAUUGCGAAGGCAGCAUACCGGCGCUCAACUGACGCUCAUGCACGAAAGCGUGGGUAUCGAACAGGAUUAGAUACCCUGGUAGUCCACGCAGUAAACGAUGAAUACUAACUGUCCGGGCAGAAUGAUGCCUGG